rnacentral:lncRNA from 1 species
UGGUGGGAGAGACCGGUUCCGAAACGCGUGAGAAAUGAGAAAGGCUGAAAAUCGGCUAAGUCCCAGAAAACCAGUUCUCGGGAACCGGUCCCUGCGGGGAGAGACCGAUCCCCGAGAGACCGGUCCCUUUGGGAGAGACCGGGAGACCGGUUGCAUUGCGCGAGGGCCCUGGCUGCCCGCGGGGCAAGCUCUCUGGGACCGGUCCCUUGUCAAGGAGACCGGUCCCUGAACACGAAAACUG